rnacentral:rRNA from 1 species
UACGUAGGUGGCAAGCGUUGUCCGGAAUUACUGGGCGUAAAGGGCGUGUAGGCGGGAAGGCAAGUCAGAAGUGAAAUCCCAGGGCUUAACUCUGGAGCUGCUUCUGAAACUGUUUUUCUUGAGUGUCGGAGAGGUAAGUGGAAUUCCCAGUGUAGCGGUGAAAUGCGUAGAGAUUGGGAGGAACACCAGUGGCGAAGGCGACUUACUGGACGAUAACUGACGCUGAGGCGCGAAAGCGUGGGGAGCAAACAGGAUUAGAUACCCUGGUAGUCCACGCUGUAAACGAUGGAUACUAGGUGUGGGGGGUAUCGACCCCCCCCGUGCCGCAGUUAACACAAUAAGUAUCCCGCCUGGGGAGUACGGCCGCAAGGUUG